UGAAAAGGUGUCAGUAGGUACACAUGGAGA
rnacentral:piRNA from 1 species